AACGAACGCUGGCGGCGCGCCUAAUACAUGCAAGUCGAGCGAGAAGGUGUAGCAAUACACUUGUAAAGCGGCGAACGGGUGAGGAAUACAUGGGUAAUCUACCAUCGAGUGGGGAAUAACCAACCGAAAGGUUGGCUAAUACCGCGUACGCCUCCGGAUCUUCGGGUUCGGAGGGAAAGCUGCACUGUGAGUGUAGCGCUCUUUGAUGAGCUCAUGUCCUAUCAGCUUGUUGGUAGGGUAACGGCCUACCAAGGCUUUGACGGGUAGCUGGUCUGAGAGGACGAUCAGCCACACUGGCACUGCGACACGGGCCAGACUCCUACGGGAGGCAGCAGUAAGGAAUAUUGCGCAAUGGGCGAAAGCCUGACGCAGCGACGCCGCGUGGGGGAUGAAGGUCUUCGGAUUGUAAACCCCUUUCGGGAGGGAAGAUGGAACGAGCAAUCGUUCGGACGGUACCUCCAGAAGCAGCCACGGCCAACUUCGUGCCAGCAGC
rnacentral:rRNA from 1 species